GACGAACGCUGGCAGCGUGCCUAAUACAUGCAAGUAGAACGCUGAAGGAGGAGCUUGCUUCUCUGGAUGAGUUGCGAACGGGUGAGUAACGCGUAGGUAACCUGCCUGGUAGCGGGGGAUAACUAUUGGAAACAUAGCUAAUACCGCAUAAUAGUAGAUGUUGCAUGACAUUUACUUAAAAGGUGCAAUUGCAUCACUACCAGAUGGACCUGCGUUGUAUUAGCUAGUUGGUGGGGUAACGGCUCACCAAGGCGACGAUACAUAGCCGACCUGAGAGGGUGAUCGGCCACACUGGGACUGAGACACGGCCCAGACUCCUACGGGAGGCAGCAGUAGGGAAUCUUCGGCAAUGGACGGAAGUCUGACCGAGCAACGCCGCGUGAGUGAAGAAGGUUUUCGGAUCGUAAAGCUCUGUUGUAAGAGAAGAACGAGUGUGAGAGUGGAAAGUUCACACUGUGACGGUAUCUACCAGAAAGGACGG
rnacentral:rRNA from 1 species